CCUACGGGAGGCAGCAGUGGGGGAUAUUGCACAAUGGGGGGAACCCUGAUGCAGCGACGCCGCGUGGGUGAAGAAGCGCCUCGGCGCGUAAAGCCCUGUCAGCAGGGAAGAAAAUGACGGUACCUGAAGAAGAAGCCCCGGCUAACUACGUGCCAGCAGCCGCGGUAAUACGUAGGGGGCAAGCGUUAUCCGGAUUUACUGGGUGUAAAGGGGGCGCAGACGGCGAUGCAAGCCAGGAGUGAAAGCCCGGGGCCCAACCCCGGGACUGCUCUUGGAACUGCGUGGCUGGAGUGCAGGAGGGGCAGGCGGAAUUCCUGGUGUAGCGGUGGAAUGCGUAGAUAUCAGGAGGAACACCGGUGGCGAAGGCGGCCUGCUGGACUGCAACUGACGUUGAGGCCCGAAAGCGUGGGGAGCAAACAGGAUUAGAUACCCCGGUAGUC
rnacentral:rRNA from 1 species